AUUGCUUCUCAGCCUUUUAGCUAAGAUCAUCUGUAGUAUCUGUUCUUUCCAGUUUGAUGCCAAGGAAGUUUGGUAAAAAUCCUGGAGAUGGUGUUGAGUGAUAGAAGCACUGGGAAAAAUAUGUACUCAGUUUACUAACCAGUCCAGGCUAUUUAAAGCCAUUAAUGAAGACCAAGAAGAUAAGUCCCA